UUUAAGUCCAACAUCUGGUUGGUUUGAGCCACUAAUGAGGACACCGAAUGGCAAUGGUAGGAGCACAUAUCAGAGUAAAUAGUCACAUUAUGAGUCAAAAAGCAAAGAGGGUGAAUGAGGAAGAGACCAGUCCCAUAAGUCCAGAGUCCCUUCCAACAGCAUGUUUCCAAUGACCUAAGGGCUUCCGUUAGAGCCCCAUCUCUCACAGGUCUACAGGACUUCCUAGUACUAUCACACUCGAGGGGAAGUUCUUACAUAUGGACCUUUGAGGAACGCUCAACAUUCAAACCAUAGCAAGUUCAGAGGCAAUGAUUUGCCUGAAGAUGAAGAAAGUGGUAUUAAUGAGUUGACCAUGGUGGUACCUGGCGUUUGAAGAAAAUUGACUGUGCCAAGGAGGAUGGAUUUAUUUUGAAAGUAUUCAUAUUGAAG
rnacentral:lncRNA from 1 species